ensembl:lincRNA
AUUCCAUUGUAUGACUAGAAUACAUGUAACUUAUUCAUUUCCUAAUAGAUGGACACAUGGAUUGUUUCCAUUUUCGGCUAUUAUGCAUAAAGCUGCUAUGAAUAUUUGUGUACAUGUUUUUGUGUAGAUAGAAGUUUUCAUUUCUCUUGGGUGAUACCCAGGAGUGGAAUUGCUGGGUAGUGUGGUAAUUCUGCCUUUUUUUUUUUUUUUUGGCCUCACUGUGCAGCAUUUGAGAUCUUAGUUCUCAGACCAGAGAUCAGACUCCUGCCCCCUGCACUGGGAAUGUGGAACCUUAACCACUGGACUGCCAGGGAAGUCCCUGGUGUGGUAAUUCUAUGUUUCAUAUUUUGAGGAACUGCCAAAAUCUUUUCCACUGUGGCUCUACCAUCUUAUAUUUCCACCAGCAAUGUAUAAGGGCUAUAAUUUCUAUACAUCAUGACUUGUAUCUUAAUUAUUAUUCACAUAUAUAUCUCUUCCAAUAGACUGAAGAAUGGGCUCUAUUAUGAGUUGGUUUUCAUUCAUCUUUAUAUAAUCAGCAUUCUCUAAAAUUAUGUAAAAACUUGAGAAGAGACGAAAGAUUGAGUUUGUAUAUAAAUUUAUAAUUAAAAAUCAAGAUUUUUUUUGUUUUCCAUAAACUAAUUUUUUCUGACAUUCCUAACAGGUGGGUUUUAAUGUGCUUUUUAGCCAGAUUGCCACACUUAUUACUACUGGUACUUAACAUCUUAAAAUAAUAACUUUGUCAAUAUUUUCUCAGGAUUAUGACCAAAAUGCCAUGAGAAUGUGAAGUAGCAAUGCAAUUUCUGAACUUUUUUAAAAAAGUUUAAUAUUUUCCAAGACCAUCAGCUAUAUAAGAGCAUGCUCUUGAUAGUAAAUCUUCAAUGUAAUGAUAUGGAUUCCAGCACAGGUAAUCUUUUCCUUUACAACAAAAACACGAGCAUUUCAUUUGUUCAUCUGUUCACCAACUGGAUAUUCAUGCACACCUACUGUACACCGAGCAUGAUUCUGGGCAUUGGAACAGCGUGGUGAAUCAGAGAGGUAAGUCCCCAACUCUCAUGGUGCUUACGGCUAAUGGGAGAGACAGCCAGCCAGUUAACAAAAGAACAGUAACUAAAGAUCAAAGUGCUAUAAAAACCAAACAAGGCAAUAUGGAACAGGGAGUUUGGGGUACUUCAUGAAAUGGGAUAGUUAAGAAUGACCAUUCUCAGUAGAUGGCAUCAGAGCUGAACCCUCCAUAAUGAGAAGCAAGAAAGCAGGCAAAGAUCUUAGAACGUUUCCUUCCUGGCAGAGGAAACAGCAAAGUAAAGUGUCUGUGCCUGUGAUCUACCAUCAUUUGCAUUCACUUAGCUAAGGUUCUUUGCAUAAACAUUUUACUCAUGCUAAUAGAGCAUAAUUGCAUCUGUAAUUAUUAAUUUUACUCAGAGGAUUGUGUAAUUUGGAGGAAGGAUUGAUUGAUGACCUUUACCUUUACUCGCAAGGAUAGCAUACUGCAUUUUACUGGUGCAAGUAGCAGUUAGGGUAGAACUUUCCUGAAUUUUCAGACUAAAUCCUCCCUUGAGAUAGUAGUAGGGGAAAAUGGCUUUGGGAGAUGAGAGAAGAAACCAAAGAAAUGUUAGCUUCUGGUCUAAAACAACAACAAAACCCUGUCAUGUUUCAGCUUUUGUU